AAUCAACGCUGGCGGCGUGCCUAACACAUGCAAGUCGAACGAGAAGGUGACUUCGGUCACUGGAUAGUGGCGUCCGGGUGAGUAACACGUGGGUAAUCUACCUUCGGGUGGGGAAUAACGUCUCGAAAGAGACGCUAAUACCGCAUAAUGCAGCGGCACCUAAUGGUGAUUAGUUGUUAAAGCGGGGGAUCUUCGGACCUCGCGCCUGAAGAGGAGCCUGCGGCAGAUUAGCUAGUUGGUGAGGUAAUGGCUCACCAAGGCUUCGAUCUGUAGCUGGUCUGAGAGGACGGCCAGCCACACUGGCGCUGACACACGGGCCAGACUCCUACGGGAGGCAGCAGUGGGGAAUUUUGGGCAAUGGGCGAAAGCCUGACCCAGCAACGCCGCGUGAAGGAGGAAAUCCUUCGGGAUGUAAACUUCACAAGUAAGGGAAGAAAGCUGCGGAUCGAAUAAGUCCGCAGUCCGACGGUACCUUACGUAA
rnacentral:rRNA from 1 species